CAAGGUGUUUUCUUGGUAAGAAUAUAUCUGUGGUUGGAGACUGUACAAGAUUUGACAAUAACAAAUGUGAAAAUAUGUAGGCUAUUUCCCAGCAAGCAAUGGCCGUCAUUUCACCGGGUACGUGAAGUAUAGACCAGAUCUAGCCCAGCUACGUGUAACCCAAUUUUAGCCCGAAUAACCUUAAAUUUGGUUGUAUGUUGUUUUUUGCUAAAUAAAGCUUAUAUUAUUUGAUACUCCGUCAUGUAAGAAAAGUCAAUAAAGUUUAUAUGGGUUCCUGCAAGUAAUAGACGUAGUUUCAGUUUCUUGGUGAAGUAUAGACCCAAUCUAGUCCGGCUAUGUGUAACCCAUCUCUAGCCCAAAAAUCCUUAAUUUGGUUACCUGUCUUUUUUUGGCAAAAUACCUUGUGAUAUGUAUGAUAUUCCUUCAAAGGAAAGUCAAUCGCAUAUAAGGUGUUUGGGCUUUUAAAUAUAUGUUAUUUUCAUAGCCUGAGUGUAGCCUUGAUAUAGCUCGUCAUCCAGUCGGCUAUUUAUAGCCCACUGAUAGCCUAAACUGGUUCACUGUAGUAUUUGACUGUGCAGCGCGUUCAUCACGCACGCAUUGUCAGUAAGUGUUAAGGUGUAAUUUCGUGACAUGUUCUAUUUGUAGCCAUAAUUUAGCUUUGAAUUAGAUGGGCUUUACACACCUCGCAAAAUUGACAUAAAAAAAUUAAUUGUAGACUUACUGCCUUUUUAUUUUUAAUAAAAAUGAAUAUGGCAUAAUAUAUCUUAUUUAUAAUAUAUUACACAUCUUACGGUAAAACAAGCCAGAUCAAAUCAGUUAAGAAAAAUCGACGCAGUUCCGUACUCCACACAAUAGAUGGCGGUAUUGCACAUUUGUCGAGUCGGCUCGGCUGAAAUGGACCAAACAAAUCAAGAGGAAGAAGCUGUUGAGGUUUGAAAUUUGUAGCGCGUUGGAUUGCGAGCGCGAUUGGCCUGCAGGAUAUUUGAGUAUGGCUGUGUGAAAUGAGCAGUCUAGCAGUUUUAAUACGUAACCAUCAAGCGUGAUUGUGUCCUGAAGACCUACCUCAUUUGAAGAGUCUGUGCAUCUACCUCAAUAAAAACUUGUAAAAGAAUAUGUGGACUGAAAGUGCAGAGGCUGAAUCUCAAAAUGCACACACAGCAGUGGAAAUCUUUAUCGUUUGGGCUGAGGAUGCUGGUUCUGGGGACUGGCCUACAGAUGUUGGUGUAGAAGUUUUGCAGAACCUGCUGAGUGUCACAAAUAGAUUGGAUGGACUUUUUCAUGUACACUUAAAGGUUUUUUUUAACCAGAAAUGAAAACCUUUAAUUAUUCAUGUCGUACUAAACAUUGAUUUGUCUUCGAAGUACAAAUUAAGAUACUUCAGGUGAAAUCUGAGAGCUCUCUCAUUCUCUAUAGACAGCAAUGGUCCCAACUUGUUUAAAGUCCAGAGAAAUACCUAAAACAUCCUCAAAACAGACCACAUACAUUCAGUUGUUCAAUCAGAAUAUGUUUAAGCUACGAUUUUGAAUGCAUAAAAAGCAAAAAUAACAGCCUUUAAGUUUCUUUAUUCUGUUGAACACAAGAUAUUUUAAAGAAUGCUGAAUACCUGUAACCAUUGACUUCCAUGGUAUGUUUUUUUUU